CAUCUUCGAAACCACUCUAUUUCGACACCCUCGACCCUUGAUUAUUCGGAAAAAAAAAUACCGCACAACCUUACCGCCAAGAGCCGUUCGCCACCAUUGCUGGGUUCGCGAUCCCGCGGCCACCAUGUCAUUAUUUCUGCCAGAACCUCCUCCGACCCGCAUAAGUCGUCGUACAACCACCGCAACCGCCGCCUUGAUCUGUUCGGUUCUUUUCGAAUAGUUGAGCCACCAUUGUCGCCACUUGAAACCGAUCUGACACACCGAGGUUCUGCACAGUCUUUCAUUCAGUUCCAUCGAUUCACAUCCUAGUCCGAUACACGGGUUUCGUGACGUUUGAGUCAAGCUUAAGAUUUGUUACGCUUUUCGCUGUUAAGGUAAUAUGGAAUGAUUUAGGAUUUCAGUGAGGAGCGUUAGGAAGUUGCUGGCCAAGAUUCUUUAUUUCAGUAAUGUAAUAAAUGUAAUUAGGAUCUUUCAUGUUAUGGAUUGGUUUUAGUUCUGAUAUUUGUAA